rnacentral:sRNA from 1 species
UCCAUGUUAUCCAGGGACCUUCUGCUUC